CCGCGAAUCGCCCUUCGGGGUGCACCAGGCGCGAAAACUUUACAAUGCCGGCAACGGCGAUAAGGGGACCUCGAGUGCCAGGUUACAAAUCUGGCUGUCGUGAUGCCUAAAAAGCAUUGCAUAGCAAGGGCCGGGCAAGACCGGUGCCAGCCGCCGCGGUAACACCGGCGGCUCGAGUGGUAACCGUUAUUAUUGGGUCUAAAGGGUCUGUAGCCGGCCGGAUAAGUCUCUUGGGAAAUCCAGCAGCUCAACUGUUGGGCUUUCAGGAGAUACUGUCUGGCUCGAGGCCGGGAGAGGUGAGAGGUACUUCAGGGGUAGGGGUGAAAUCUUGUAAUCCUUGAAGGACCACCAGUGGCGAAGGCGUCUCACCAGAACGGACCUGACGGCAAGGGACGAAAGCUAGGGGCACGAACCGGAUUAGAUACCCGGGUAGUCCUAGCCGUAAACGAUACUCGCUAGGUGUCGGCCACGGUGCGACCGUUGUCGGUGCCGUAGGGAAGCCGUGAAGCGAGCCACCUGGGAAGUACGGCCGCAAGGCUGAAACUUAAAGGAAUUGGCGGGGGAGCAC
rnacentral:rRNA from 1 species